AGCCCUAGAAUAGCUUUGUCUAAAACAACAAUUCAUCCGGUGUGCUCAGUGUGAUGAGGCAGAGCCUCCGGUGGCGGUCUGAUGAAGGACUGGGGAAGAUCCCACUCUAGCAUGAGCCUCCUCGCAGUGGGUAUCAAUUGCAUGGUACAUAUUAAUGUUUCCACUUAUUGUCAUGCAUAUUCAUAAAAGGCCAGAGAAAUCAUUGAAGAGAGCUUCUUGGAGAGAGAAAGCUUAGAGGGAGAAUGUUUGGUAGAGAGAGAGAGGUUCCAGUGUGUCUCUAAUGGUGAACUGUUGACCCAUAUGAGCUUCUCAAAGAGAUUCGGGUAACCCUUUCAUUAGUGCUCGGAUGGAGGCUUCUUGCUCUAGAAUGUCAUCCCUGUUCGCUUUCGCAGCCCUUAACUCUUCUUCAAUAGCAAUUUUUCAUUCAAUCCCUUCUUUUUCUUAUUCUUUUCUAUUUUCAGCAAUUGCUUGCUGAGGGUGCAGAUUUGUUCCUCCAGAAAUCCAAGAUUCUUUCUCUUCGACUGAUACCUUUGCAUAGGUUUUAUCAAACAGGCAACAGAGCCUUCCUCCAAGGUGGAAUCGUAGUCUCCAAUUCUCAAAACCCUCGGAUCUUGAUCCUAGACCCUAAAUUUCGGCCACUCUCUGAACCCUAACCCUAAAUUUCAGCCACUCUCUGAACCCUAACCCUAAAUUUCAGCCCUUUGAAAUCCUUUCGCUAACUAUGGAGAGAUUUCCGGAUUCGGCUAACCUAUAUGCCCAUAGCAGGGCAUUUGAAGAACUACAAACAUGAGAAUUUGAAGCUAGAGAAGCAGAAAGAGAACAUUCUGAACUUGAUGGAGUCCGUCAAUGGACAAGUGAGAGUGAAUACAACGAAUCAUAUUGAUGCUCUAGCUUCUGUGGGAGAGUGGACAGGAAGAGAUGUGUAAGCUGUAAUCUCUUCGGUGGUGGAUAAGAAAUUGCAAGAAAUGCUCAUCAAUGCUGCUAAGAAAGCCCGAAUUUCAUGAGUUUACCAUCCAAAGAUGAUACAUUACCGGGAUGAUGAUUCGAGGAGGAAGGGCUCUUGCCUAUUUGAUAGAACCUCUGCAGAGGUAUCAGUCCAAGAGAAAGAAUCUUGGAUGUCUGGAGGAACAAAUCUGCACCCUCAGCAAACAAUUGCUGAAAAUAGAAAAGAAGAUGAAAAAGAAGGGAUUGAAUGAAAAAUUUGCUAUUGAAGAAGAGUGAAGGGCUGCGAAAGCGAACAGGGAUGACAUUCUUGCUCUACAAGCCUCCAUCCAAUCACUAAUGGAAGGGUUACCGAAUCUGUGGUGGUUGAUUCGGAAGAAGUCGAUGUUGAAGUAGUCAAGAUAUGGGUGGGAAAGCCAAUAGAAAUUUUGAUUCCCAUAACCCAUGGCGACUCUCUGCAGGACACUCUGAUCAAUGCAGCUAAAAGAGCAAAAACCUCUUAGAUCUUCUAUGAUAGGAUUGCUAAAGAGCGACUUUCACAAGUGCGACCCCGGAAUCUCACGAUCCACUACUGAUUUCUUUCUGGUACUUUACAAUUUUCCUUCCCAAACUAAGUGAUCUCAUGCAAUUGGAAUUGAUAGUGGGGGGCAUCUGAUACAUGGAGCUCUCCUUCCCUACAUUGCUCAGCUAGAGGCAUCUCAUUUUUUUUUGUAUAGAUUUUCACUUCAAUUGUUAAUUAAUUUAUAAUCUGUGAAUUUGUGAAGAUAAAUGGCAAAAGCUGCACAGCUGACCUCUAAUUUCAUACUACAGAAGUGUAACACUAGCAGUAUUUAUUUGGAGGAUCGGAUUAGUCAAUUGCAAGAUGACAUUCUUGUUAUCAUUUUGUCUCUGUUGACAAUGCGAGAAGCGGCAAGAACUAGUGUUCUCUCAAGUAGAUGGAAAAAUCUGUGGAUCAUGACUGGUAGUUUGGACUUUGAUGCUUCGAAGGCGUUGUGGGAAGUUAAAAAUAGAGUGGAUGAGAAUUUCCUGAAAGAUGAAAGGGCUAAGUAUGUAAGCUGGGUAAAUCGAGUCUUGAACUCACAUAAGGGCACAACUAUAGAAAAAUUCAGAGCUUCUUUUGAUUUGGAUAAAUUUUAUGGGAUUUAUAUUGAUUCUUGGAUCAACUUCGCUAUAAAAAAGAGAGUUCAAAGGCUUGAGCUGAACUUAAAACGACUUUAUUAUUCUAGAAGGAGCGGGCGUUACUCUUUUCCAAAACAUUCCCAUGUUUUAUCCAGCCUCAAAAAUCUAACUUCGCUUCGUUUGAAUUGCUUAGAUGUGAGUGGGGAAGCUCUUGAAUACUUAUUAUCCAACUGCUUGUUUCUUGAAGAAUUGCAUGUUCAAGACUCUGAACUUGUAGUAAAUCUAAAAGUUUCUGGUCCAUCACUCAAAUUGAAGUCGUUAGCGAUGGUUAACUGUUACAAUUUGGAAUGUAUUGGAUUUCUUCAGUGAAUCUUGUGUCUUUUAAAUAUCAAGGGGGCUCAAGCACACGCAUUCUUUUGGAGAAUGUCCCCCAUCUCAUGGAUGUAUCUUAUGGGGGUCGCUAUUCGGAUUAUAUAAUAAAUGAUUUUCGUCAGUUCCCUAGUUAUAUGUUUCAGCUAGAGAAACUUGCAUUGAACUUGAGGGAUGAGGUACUUUAUAACUUUCCCAAGUUUCCCAAACUAAGAAAUCUCAGGCAAUUGGAAUUGACAGUGGAUGCAUAUGAUAAAUGGAGCCUCCUCCCCUGUGUUUUUCUGCUAAACGCAUGUCCUUUUCUAUAUAGAUUUUCGCUUGCAUUUAUUCAGUGCAGUGGAACUUCUAUAGGAAGAAAAACGGUAGGGAAUUCUAAAAAACAUACGCUCAAAUGCAUCAAAGUAGUGGAAUUGGUUGCAUUUGCUGGGCGUAAACCUGAUGUUGAGUUUGCUGUGUAUAUACUUGAGAAGGCCGUGUCACUUGAGAAGAUGAUUAUUGAUACACGCUACCUGUAUUCAGUCGGAACUCCAUCCGAGAAUGUGGAAGAUGAGGAGAGACUAGCAGCAAAAAAGUGUGCUGAGCAACUCCGUACAAAACGACGUCCGGGAGUUGAUUUUGUGAUACUUUAAGUUAUCAAGAACUACACGAUGAUUGUUGUAUUAGUUCAAACAGGAAAAGAGCUUCCAUGACACUUGUUACUAUUUUUCUUGUAAAUACUUAUGAACUAGUACAUUCUAAUGGAAGUCUCUCUCUAUUGAAAAGGGCAACAGAAUUGUGUUUCAAGCAUUUAUUUUGUGAUUAUGGUGAUAAAUUACUGAUUGGUGAUUUUAAUUUACUACUGAUAAAGUUUGAUUUUUUCGAUUUGAGUAGAUAUUGAUAAAUGGGGAGGAUGACUCCCAGCAAGAGAGAUUUUGGUAACUGAUUAGGGUUGAGAGGGGGUUGAGAGUGAGUUUGGUGCUUCAAAGUUGAGGGAAUCAGUUUUGAGGAAUUAAAUUCUUGAUCACUGACUACUCACUAGGUUAUCCAUAUUGAUCACUGAUGUGUCUAAUCACAUGCACAAAUAAUUCCUAAAUUUUGUUUAUUUGAUUUUAGAUUCAGAACACAGCUGUCAUCAUUUUUUUUUUUUUUUUUU